rnacentral:rRNA from 1 species
CGCUGGCGGCGUGCCUAACACAUGCAAGUCGAACGCGAAAGAGGGGCAACCCUCGAGUAGAGUGGCGCACGGGUGAGUAACACGUGGGUAACCUACCCUUGAGAUUGGGACAACCAGGGGAAACUCUGGCUAAUACCGGAUACGCCCAAGGCCUCCUCGGCGGCCUUGGGGAAUGGGUGGCCUAUGCUUGCAAGCUACCGCUCUUGGAUGGGCCCGCGGCCCAUUAGCUAGUUGGUGAGGUAACGGCUCACCAAGGCAAUGAUGGGUAGCUGGUCUGAGAGGAUGAUCAGCCACACUGGGACUGAAACACGGCCCAGACUCCUACGGGAGGCAGCAGUGGGGAAUUUUGCGCAAUGGGGGAAACCCUGACGCAGCAACGCCGCGUGGGUGAUGAAGGCCCUCGGGUCGUAAAGCCCUGUCGGGUGGGAAGAAGCCCUUGACGGUGAAUAAUCGGCGAGGAUGACGGUACCACUAGAGGAAGCACCGGCUAACUACGUG